rnacentral:rRNA from 1 species
AUUGAACGCUGGCGGCAGGCUCAACACAUGCAAGUCGAGCGCCCCGCAAGGGGAGCGGCAGACGGGUGAGUAACGCGUGGGAAUCUACCCAUCUCUACGGAAUAACGCAUGGAAACGUGUGCUAAUACCGUAUACGUCCUUCGGGAGAAAGAUUUAUCGGAGAUGGGUGAGCCCGCGUUGGAUUAGCUAGUUGGUGGGGUAAAGGCCUACCAAGGCGACGAUCCAUAGCUGGUCUGAGAGGAUGAUCAGCCACACUGGGACUGAGACACGGCCCAGACUCCUACGGGAGGCAGCAGUGGGGAAUAUUGGACAAUGGGCGCAAGCCUGAUCCAGCCAUGCCGCGUGAGUGAUGAAGGCCCUAGGGUUGUAAAGCUCUUUCACCGGUGAAGAUAAUGACGGUAACCGGAGAAGAAGCCCCGGCUAACUUCGUGCCAGCCGCCGCAGUAACAC